GGCUACCUAGCGCAAUGGUAGCGCGUUUGGCUUCGAUGCUUAACGGUUACCAAAAGGUUGCAGGUUCGAGUCCUGCGGUGGUCA
rfam:Hypholoma sublateritium FD-334 SS-4 unplaced genomic scaffold scaffold_1, whole genome shotgun sequence.